rnacentral:lncRNA from 1 species
AUUAGUCAAAGAGAAAAAUAAUUAUCUGCUAAUCUACAAAAAAAAAUGAACCUUUUAAUUAAAGCACAUCAUCUUCUAGUUCUGGCAAAGCUAGAGACGAAACCUGCAAACAAGUCCUGACUGCAAGGGAUGAUGAGGCCACCCAUAGAGCGAGUUGUGUCUUUGCUUUCUAAUAAGAAAAGCUCAUUCUUGAAGAAAUCAAUCAACGCAGAUUAAUUAGGUAACAAAAGUUUGCUCCAUAAAUUUUCAUGUAUAUUCAUUCAUCUACUAUUAUGUAUUGCCAAUGGAUACAUAUAUAUAUACAUUUUCUAAUCUAUAAAAUUCUAUUCCUCCUAAAACCAUUGCUACAAAUCAUCUUGAGCUGAAGCCAGAGAUGAAAUCUACAAAUAACUCUUGACUGCAAGGGAUGGUGAGGCCGCCCAUCGGGUGAUUGAAUCCGAAUUCUUCCUCAGCUU